rnacentral:rRNA from 1 species
GACAGAGGAUGCGAACGUUGCUCGGAUUUACUGGGCGUAAAGCGCGCGUAGGCGGCCUUGUAAGUCGGGUGUGAAAGCCCGGGGCUCAACCCCGGAAGUGCACCCGAUACUGCCAGGCUCUGGGUGCUGAAGAGGAGAGCGGAAUUCCCGGUGUAGAGGUGAAAUUCGUAGAUAUCGGGAGGAACAUCAGUGGCGAAGGCGGCUCUCUGGGCAGUUACCGACGCUGAGGCGCGAAAGCGUGGGGAGCAAACAGG